GAUGAACGCUGGCGGCGUGCCUAAUACAUGCAAGUCGAGCGAACGGACGAGAAGCUUGCUUUUCUGAUGUUAGCGGCGGACGGGUGAGUAACACGUGGAUAACCUACCUAUAAGACUGGGAUAACUUCGGGAAACCGGAUCUAAUACCGGAUAAUAUUUUGAACCGCAUGGUUCAAAAGUGAAAGACGGUCUUGCUGUCUCUUAUAGGUGGAUCCGCGCUGCAUUAGCUAGUUGGUAAGGUAACGGCUUACCAAGGCAACGAUGCAUAGCCGACCUGAGAGGAUGAUCAGCCACACUGGAACUGAGACACGGUCCAGACUCCUACGGGAGGCAGCAGUGGGGAAUCUUCCGCAAUGGGCGAAAGCCUGACGGAGCCACACCGCGUGAGUGAUGAAGGUCUUCGGAUCGUAAAACUCUGUUAUUAGGGAAGAACAUAUGUAUAAGAAACUGUGCACAUCUUGACGGUACCUAAUCAGAAAGCCACGGCUAACUACGUG
rnacentral:rRNA from 1 species